rnacentral:tRNA from 1 species
CCUCGGGACCGCGGGAGAUGGUGAUCGUCACCGCGCCGUUGCCGCGGAUACGCCGGCCGCCCGGCGGGUCGGUGUUCAUCACCGUCCCGCGGUC